rnacentral:misc_RNA from 1 species
AAAUGCGAUAAGUAAUGUGAAUUGCAGAAUUCAGUGAAUCAUCGAAUCUUUGAACGCACCUUGCGCUCCUUGGUAUUCCUUGGAGCAUGCCUGUUUGAGUAUCAUGAAAUCUUCAAAGUAAAUCUUUUGUUAACUCAAUUGGUUUCUACUUUGGUAUUGGAGGUCUUUGCAGCUUCACACCUGCUCCUCUUUGUUCAUUAGCUGGAUCUCAGUGUUAUGCUUGGUUCCACUCGGCGUGAUAAGUUAUCUAUCGCUGAGGACACUGUAAAAGGUGGCCAAGGUAAAUGCAGAUGAACCGCUUCUAAUAGUCCAUUGACUUGGACAAUACUUUUAUGAUCUGAUCUCAAAUCAGGUAGGACUAUCCGCUGAACUUAAGC